UACGUAGGACCCAAGCGUUAUCCGGAAUUACUGGGCGUAAAGAGUUGCGUAGGCGGCCUUCCAAGUUAGUAGUGAAAUCGUGUGGCUCAACCACAUACACAUUACUAAAACUGGUCGGCUAGAGUAUAGAAGAGGUCACUGGAAUUCCAAGUGUAGGAGUGAAAUCCGUAGAUAUUUGGAGGAACACCGAUGGCGUAGGCAGGUGACUGGUCUAUUACUGACGCUAAGGCACGAAAGCGUGGGGAGCAAACGGG
rnacentral:rRNA from 1 species